UCAGAGUUUGAUCUGCUCAGGAUGAACGCUAGCUACAGGCUUAACACAUGCAAGUCGAGGGGAAACGACAUCGAAAGCUUGCUUUUGAUGGGCGUCGACCGGCGCACGGGUGAGUAACGCGUAUCCAACCUGCCCACCACUUGGGGAUAACCUUGCGAAAGUAAGACUAAUACCCAAUGACGUCUCUAGAAGACAUCUGAAAGAGAUUAAAGAUUUAUCGGUGGUGGAUGGGGAUGCGUCUGAUUAGCUUGUUGGCGGGGUAACGGCCGCCAAGGCUACGAUCAGUAGGGGUUCUGAGAGGAAGGUCCCCCACAUUGGAACUGAGACACGGUCCAAACUCCUACGGGAGGCA
rnacentral:rRNA from 1 species